UUGCAGCAGGAAAAGUAUGGCAACAGAACUGCCUCCCAUAGGUACUGCUGGCAGAUUGGCCAAAGACCUUGGCCAUGCCCUGGGGUGGCUCUCUUUGUGGCUGAUAAAGCAGUUAGAGGACUUACUGAGAACCAAGCUUCAAACAAGAUCAGCUUGCCAUUACUACCUUUUGUGAUGCUACUUGAGUAUCAUUUCCAAAGGAUGCCUCGCUUCAUGUUCCAAUUUUGCUACCUGUCCAGGAAGUGGGCGUAUCCCAAGUAGGGAUUGUUUCUUCAGAUCUUGCCCAGGAGUGAAGAGACUGCAGAGCUGACACAUAAUGGAAAUUCACGAAGCUUCUGGAGCAUGUGUGUUACUAAAAGAAGGGAAUGAACCGAGAAAGGGGAGAAUCUGAGUGUGGAAACAAGGUUCCCAGCAAAGGAAAGAGGCAAGGUGAACUUCUACAGUGAUAAUGAAGAAAUGUCUUAUGCUGACAAAAUUCAGCUGUUCUGGAGAUCAAUCAUUCUAUGUAGAAACAGAAGGCUGGAAAGAUCCACAGAUGUCUAUAUUAAAAAAAAAAAAAAGAACCACUGGAAUACUUCAGGUGCUUGACAAAAUUGGUCAGAAGAAAACUGGAGAAGUCUAAGAAAAGUUUAUAGCAUAUAUAUAAAUGCACUCACACAUACACAAAAAGAAAACAAAAUGAAUAAGUCGUCAAUAUUUAACUCCAGCAAAAACAAAACAUGCAAAAAAAAAGAAAGAUAAGCAAAGUAUUGAUAAUGCAUUGUCAUUAUAUUAUAAAAACUGAAUAAUUACUUAAUACAAAACUGUGAUUAAAAUAUGCAGGGAGGGAGAAGAGUGUGGGUGUGUGUAGGGGUGGUGAAAGGAUAGUAAGUCUUUAUCUUCUGUAGUAGGAAGCGAGUAGAUAUUAUUUAAACUUACUUAAUCAAUAUAUAGCACCAUAAGCUUAUUACUAAAAAUGAGGAGUUAAAUAUAAGAGGAGAAAGAGCGAACUGAAUGGGAAGUUGCCUCUGCCUUUGGGGAAUCUAAUUCUGGGGCUGAAUAUUGUUUUUUGUUGCUGUUGUUUUGCUAUUUGUUUGUUAUUAUAAACUUUGUAAUAUUGGAUGACCUUUGAAACCAUGUCUGGGUAUUUUUUGAUUGUCCAAAAUAUUUUUACAGCCAAAAGAAUUUGUGAUACAAAACCUAUUUGCAUUAAAGGUUUUCUUAAUCUUUCCAGAAUAGGUUGCCAUUAGACAAAAAAGACGUUAGUCACCUACUAGUUAUUAAUCACUAUUUUUCCUUAAUUCAACUACUUAAAAAAUUCAAAUGGCUAAAUAUAUCAUGGCAUAUGCUUUUAUUAUAUUAUUUAGAAAGCAUUUCUAUCAGAGUAAAACAUUUUCUAUUAUAAGGGAGGAAAAAACAUUUUCCUUCUACCUUUCUACGUUCUUGGUUGUGGCUCUAACAAAAGACAAAUGAACAAGAGAAAAGCAUACAAAUUUAUUUAAAGGAGUUUUAUGUGACACAAGAGCCUUCAUAAGGCAAUAAAGACCCCAAGAACCAAUUAAACCUGAGUGUUUUUAUAUCCUAGGUUUGAUGAAGAGUGGAAGUCAUGGGCAAGUGUGAUAGGACAGAAGUGUGUGAGCUGAGAGUAGUAAACUGGGGGAAGCUUAGCAAGACCUGUUCAGAAUCUUCUCAAAAUCCCACUGUCUUUGAGGAUUAAGGAUGCUCUUGUUCUCUGGGUAUAAAGAGAGAACUGCUUUAAUGAGGGUCGUAUGACCUGAUUUCAGGGGAGAAGGGAAGAUCUGAGAGUCCUUCCUGUACCUGCCAAUUCUCAAUUUCCUACAGCUUAAAAUAUAUACCCUAUAUGCCAAGGUGCUGUAUUUGGAGGUAGUCUGUUCUGAACCCUUUUGCUAUCAUAAAUUAAAUGUAUUAACUCUUUUGAAAUAUUGUGCCUAAGAAUCUUUAUAUAGAAUCAGAUAAUUCUGUAAUUUUAUUUUACUCUUUUACAUGAAUUUUCUAUUACAUCCUCUUAAUAACCAUCAAAGGAAACAACCCUAAAUUAAUACUGUAAAAGCUAAUGAAUUAUUUAGACAUAUCCUUUAGAGAUAUUUAAAUAUAGUCUCUCAUGUAAUUUCUUUCUCCUAAGCAGGGUACAAGUGUUAAUAUUUAGUGUCUACAUCUUGGUUUCAAUUUCUUUAAAUCAUCUUUGCAUAAGUAACGCAUUUUUAAAAAAGUAGUUGCAUAGAAAACAGUCUAGAGGAAUACAGAACAAAAGGCUAACUGUGGGUAUCUAGGAAAUGGAAUUGAGGAGGAUUUUGUAAAAUGUUUUACAGUCUUCGUGUGUUAUUUUUAUGAUCAGAAUGUAUUUGUGUGUUUGUAUGUGAAUGGGUAUAUGUAUAUAUGAAAAAUAAAAUAAGAAGUUGUGCAUA